UGACACAGGGAGGUAGUGACAAGAAAUAACAAUACGGGGCUUAAAGUCUUGUAAUUGGAAUGAUGGGAAUUUAAACCUCUUCCAGAGUAUCAAUUGGAGGGCAAGUCUGGUGCCAGCAGCCGCGGUAAUUCCAGCUCCAAUAGCGUAUAUUAAAAUUGUUGCAGUUAAAAAGCUCGUAGUUGAAUUUCUGCUGCAUUGCUUGUGUCCCUCUGGGGUCUGUGCAUGUGGCUUUUUUCGGACGGAGUUUCUUUGUCUGAAUGUUUACUUUGAGAAAAUUAGAGUGCUCAAAGCAGGCUUUCGCCUUGAAUAGUUUAGCAUGGAAUAAUAAAGUAGGACUUUGGUUCUAUUUUGUUGGUUUUAGGUACCAAAGUAAUGGUUAAUAGGAACAGUUGGGGGCAUUCGUAUUUAACUGUCAGAGGUGAAAUUCUUAGAUUUGUUAAAGACGAACUACUGCGAAAGCAUUUGCCAAGGAUGUUUUCAUUAAUCAAGAACGAAAGUUAGGGGAUCGAAGACGAUCAGAUACCGUCGUAGUCCUAACCAUAAACUAUGCCGACUAGAGAUUGGAGGUCGUCAGUUUUUACGACUCCUUCAGCACCUUGAGAGAAAUCAAAGUCUUUGGGUUCUGGGGGGAGUAUGG
rnacentral:rRNA from 1 species